GCUGGGCACAGUGGCCUGCACCUGUAAUCCUAGAGACUAGGGAGGCUGAGGCAGGAGGAUCUCAAGUUCAAAGCCAGCCUCAGCAACCUAGUGAAGCCCUAAGCAACUCAGUGAGACUCUGUCUCUA
rnacentral:sRNA from 1 species